CUUUAAGUACCGACGUGCGGUCUGAGAGGCCCCGGCAGGUACUUGAUUUGUUAGAUUACCCUUUCCCCCGCACAAUACCAAUCCCUGCUUUUAAGUAGCUGUAAGUUUAGUGCCCAUGUUGACGUUGGAACAGGCAGUGUUGUUGUCACAUGUGUAUUUGAUAUUAUGAACUAUGGAUAUAACAGGGACUUCCCCUAAUAAGCAAAAUAGUUGUGUGACAGAUUUACAACAAUCAAAGAGAUCUCGGACAUGUAUAAAUACACUGAAUCCAAAUAGUGAUUGAGAGCUGGCUAGCGGAUGAGGAUUCCAGCGGAUCAGAGGUAGACAACGUUGGCCAAGAUUUUUGUCCAGAGCUGAGGAAGUCAAGACACGAAAUACAUGUCUUUCAUGUAAACCUAAAUUGAAAAGAAAAUCAACUUAUAAAUGCAAUUCGUGCUAAAACACGUUUGUUUGCAGUGCGCGAAACAAGUAUGCCCUGACUGUGUCUAGAAUUGAAGGUGUAGUUGGACUGUGGACAUUUUUUUUUUCAGAAGGUUUAUGUUCUUACUAAAUUUUUUUUCUAAGAGUUAUAUUAGUCGUAAGUGAGAAAUACUAUUUGUUGUUAUUCUGAGAGGAGUAUUUUUUAUGUUUUGGUUUUUUAUAACGAAUAGUCUGAUUUUUCCCCAAAAUUCAAGCCAAAUAUUAUUGUAGUCUUAUAUUCAAAAAAAUAAUAAAGUUGAUUACCUUUC